UCGCUGUGAUGAAGUCUAUUCCUAAGCCAUUCGUAGUUUCCACCGGAGGUUGAGAGACCAAAGAUGGCCCAAGUACCUUCCUUGGAUGUCUGAGCGA
ensembl:snoRNA SNORD14 Small nucleolar RNA SNORD14